rnacentral:rRNA from 1 species
UACGUAGGGUGCGAGCGUUGUCCGGAAUUAUUGGGCGUAAAGAGCUCGUAGGCGGCUUGUCACGUCGGGUGUGAAAGCCCGGGGCUUAACCCCGGGUCUGCAUUCGAUACGGGCUAGCUAGAGUGUGGUAGGGGAGAUCGGAAUUCCCGGUGUAGCGGUGAAAUGCGCAGAUAUCGGGAAGAACACCCGUGGCGAAGGCGGCUCUCUGGGACGGUACUGACGCUGAGACGCGAAAGCGUGGGGAGCGAACAGG